ACAUACGACCAUGAACUCAAGGAAAGUGGGCAUUCCGUCCGCUCUGCCACACUUAAGCUUGAGAUCGACAGAUUAGUAGUUGGAUGAGUGACCACCAGCGAAGCCCUGCUGUGGUUGUGUGUA
rfam:Lasallia pustulata genome assembly, contig: scaffold347_size71729